rnacentral:tRNA from 1 species
GCCGGCCGGUAUGGCGAGGCACCUUGCCGAUGGCGCUGUUCGUGCCGCGCUUCUGGUUCCAGACCUGGCGGCCGGUG